AUACGGAGGAUGCAAGCGUUAUCCGGAUUUAUUGGGUUUAAAGGGUGCGUAGGCGGUUUGCUAAGCGGCAGGUGAAAUGCCGGCGCUCAAAGUCGGAAGUGCCUCCCGAACUGGUGGCCUGGAAUGACUCUGCCGUGGGAGGAAUGGGUAGUGUAGCGGGGAAAUGCAUAGAUAUUCCACAGAACACCGAUUGCGAAGGCAUCUCACAAAACAGCGAUUGACGCUGAGGCACGAAAGUGCGUGGAUCAAACAGGAUUAGAUACCCUGGUAGUCCGCACAGUAAACGAUGAUAACUCGCUGUUGGCUCGCAAGGAGUCAGUGGCCAAGCGAAAGCGAUAAGUUAUCCACCUGGGGAGUACGGCCGCAAGGUUGAAACUCAAAUGAAUUGACGGGG
rnacentral:rRNA from 1 species